rnacentral:rRNA from 1 species
CCCUUAGACGUUCUGGGCCGCACGCGCGCUACACUGACCAGUGCAACAAGCAUCCGUCCUUGGCCGACAGGCUCGGGCAAUCUUUGAACGCUGGUCGUGAUGGGGAUAGACUUUUGCAAUUUUUGGUCUUCAACGAGGAAUUCCUAGUAAACGCAAGUCAUCAACUUGCAUUGAUUACGUCCCUGCCCUUUGUACACACCGCCCGUCGCACCUACCGAUUGAAUGGUCCGGUGAGGACUCGGGAUUGUGGUUUAGCUCCUUCAUUGGGGCCUGACUGCGAGAACUUGUCCGAACCUUAUCAUUUAGAGGAAGGUGAAGUCGUANCA